UGGGAACCCUGUUCUCUGUUCAGUGGUUG
rnacentral:piRNA from 1 species